rnacentral:lncRNA from 1 species
AGCUCAGAUUUGAAGGCAGUAGCUUGCCGAUGCUCCCAGCUGAAUAAAGCCCUGCCUUCUACAACUCAGUGUCUGAGAGGUUUUGUCUGCGGCUCACCCUGCUACAUUUCUUGGUUCCCUGACUGGGAAACGAGGUGACUGACGGAUGGCCGAGGCAGCCCCUUAGGCGGCUUAGGCCUGCCCUGUGGAGCAUCCGUGAGGGGAACUCCGGCCAGCCUGAGUGACGUGAUCCAAAGAGCGCUCCCGGGUAGGCAAUUGCCCCAAUGGAACGCCUUGCCAGAGCAGCGUGUAGCAGGCCCCCACGGAAGAUUAACACAGUGGCUGAACACCAGGAAGGAACUGGCACUUGGAGUCCGGACAUCUACAACUUGGCCCAACCACCGAGACCACCCUUAAACAUCAGUAGACUGGGAGCUGUACGUGGAUGGGAGCAGCUUUGCCAACCCUUGCAAAGUGACUCUGAAGAAGACGACAAGCCUUGUUCCGGUCACACCCGGAAGCUGACUGGUUCACGCAUGGCCGAAGCAUGAGGAAACUCAUCGCGGGAAUAAUUUUCCUUAAAAUUUGGACUUGUACAGUAAGGACUUCAACUGACCUUAUGCUAAGCUGCCUGAUCAGUGGACAGGUAGCUGUGUAAUUGGACAGGUAGCUGUGUAAUUGGCACCAUUAAGCCAUCUUUCUUCUUACUGCCAAUAAAAACAGGUGAACUUCUAGGCUUCCUAGUCUAUGCUUCCCGUGAAAAAUGAAGCAUAGCCAUAGGUGAUUAGAAAAUAAUGAAUGGCCCCCUGAAAGAAUCAUACAAUACUAUAGACCCACCACUUAGGCACAAGAUGGCUCAUGAGGAUAUCGAACCCCCAUCUACAUGCUCAACCGAAUCAUACAGUUACAAGCGGUUUUAGAAAUUAUUACUAAUAAAACCGGUCAAGCCUUGACUGUUCUUGCCCGGCAAGAGACUCUGAUGAGAAAUUUUAUCUAUCAAAAUAUACUAGCUCUUGACUACUUGCUAGCAGCUGAAGGAGAAGUUUGUAAAAAAUUUAACCUUACUAAUUGUUGUCUACACAUAAAUGAUUAAGGGCAAGUAGUUAAAAAUAUAGUUAAAGAUAUAACAAAACUGGCACAUGUACCCAUGCAAGUGUGGCAUGGGCUCAAUCCGGGAGCCAUGUUUGCAAAUUGGUUCCCAGCAAUGAAAAAAUUUAAAACUCUUAUAAUAAGAGUAAUAAUAGUAAUAGAAACCUGCUUACUGCUCCUUUGUCUGAUACCUGUAUUUCUCCAAAUGAUAAAAAACUUUGUCACGACCUUAGUUCACCAAAAUGCUUUAGCAGAAGCAUACUAUAUAAAUCACUAUCAAUCUAUUGCACAAAAAGACAUAAGUAGCAAAAAUAAGACUCAGAACUCCCACUAAUAAAAACUGAGAGUCUCAAAGGGGGGAAAUGAGGGAAGAGAGAGAGACCCUCUCAUAUUGUUUUAUAUUGUUUUAUACUCAGUACCUCUUUUAAGAAAAAGUGACAAGGAAGUAAAACCAAAGACAGGCAGCCUGGUGCCAGGCCUGAAACCAGGCCUGGGCCUGUCUGGCCUAAACCCAGUAGUUAAAAAUCAACUCAUAACUUAGAAACUGAUGUUAUUCAUAGAUUCCAGACAUUGUAUAGAAGAACAUUGUGAAACUCCCUGCCCUGUUCUGUUUCUCUCUGACCACUGGUGCAUGCAGCCCCUGUCAUGUACCGCCUGCUUGCUCAAAUCAAUCACGACCCUUUCAUGUGAAAUCUUUAGUGUUGUGAGCCCUUAAAAGGGACAGAAAUUGAGUAUUUGGGGAGCUUGGAUUUUAAGGCAGUAGCUUGCUGAUGCUCCCAGCUGAAUAAAGCCCUUCCUUCCACAACUCAGUGU